rnacentral:tRNA from 1 species
GGGCCGGUCGUUCAAUGGCAGGACACGACUCUUAUAAGGUCGAUACGAAAGUUCGAUUCUUUCCCGGCCCA